rnacentral:rRNA from 1 species
GAUGAACGCUGGCGGCGUGCCUAAUACAUGCAAGUCGAGCGAACGGACGAGAAGCUUGCUUCUCUGAUGUUAGCGGCGGACGGGUGAGUAACACGUGGAUAACCUACCUAUAAGACUGGGAUAACUUCGGGAAACCGGAGCUAAUACCGGAUAAUAUUUUGAACCGCAUGGUUCAAAAGUGAAAGACGGUCUUGCUGUCACUUAUAGAUGGAUCCGCGCUGCAUUAGCUAGUUGGUAAGGUAACGGCUUACCAAGGCAACGAUGCAUAGCCGACCUGAGAGAGUGAUCGGCCACACUGGAACUGAGAUACGGUCCAGACUCCUACGGGAGGCAGCAGUAGGGAAUCUUCCGCAAUGGGCGAAAGCCUGACGGAGCAACGCCGCGUGAGUGAUGAAGGUCUUCGGAUCGUAAAACUCUGUUAUUAGGGAAGAACAUAUGUGUAAGUAACUGUGCACAUCUUGACGGUACCUAAUCAGAAAGCCACGGCUAACUACGUG